rnacentral:rRNA from 1 species
UACGAAGGGGGCUAGCGUUGUUCGGAAUUACUGGGCGUAAAGCGCGCGCAGGCGGCCAUUCAAGUCAGGGGUGAAAGCCCAGAGCUCAACUCUGGAACUGCCUUUGAAACUGUAUGGCUUGAGUAUGAGAGAGGUGAGUGGAAUUCCCAGUGUAGAGGUGAAAUUCGUAGAUAUUGGGAAGAACACCGGUGGCGAAGGCGGCUCACUGGCUCAUUACUGACGCUGAGGCGCGAAGGCUAGGGGAGCGAACGGG